GUUCUUGUAGUUGAGAUUAGUCAACGGUGGUUUUUCAGACCACAGACCUUGGAGAAAAGCCAAGCNAGAAUN
rnacentral:tRNA from 1 species